rnacentral:lncRNA from 1 species
CCCUGAUUUCCACCUCUGAAAUUGUGCUCGGGAAAUGCAAAAUGUGAGGUGGGAAAAGCGCCCCCAUCCUGCCUUGGAUUUCCUGAUUUUAUCCCGAUUUCAGCCCGAUUUUCACCUCUGAAAUUGUGCUCGGGAUGCACGAGACGUGAGGUGGGAAAACUCCCCCUUGCUGCCUCAAAUUUCCUGAUUUUACCCCGAUUUUCACCUCCGAGAUUGUGCUCGGGGUACACAAGAUAUGAGGUGGGGAAAAGCGCCCCCUUUUGCUGCCUCGGAUUUCCUGAUUUUACCCCGAUUUUCACCUCUGAAAUUGUGCUCGGGUACACGAGAUGUGAGGUGGGAAAACUUCCCUUUUCCUGCCUCAAAUUUCCUGAUUUCACCCCAAUUUUCCCCUCUGAAAUUGCGCUCGGGAUACACAAAAUGUGAGGUGGGAAAAUCCUCCAAUUUCCUGAUUUCAUCCCAAUUUUACCCCAAUUUUCCCCUCCAAAAUUGUGAUCAGGAAACACAAAAUAUGAGGUGGGAAAACCCUCCAGUUUCCUGA